rnacentral:tRNA from 1 species
GGGCAGUGGAGKCACAGCAAGCUGCAAACUUGAAGAAGCACCCCAAAAGGUGCCCCGGCU